rnacentral:rRNA from 1 species
GAUGAACGCUGACAGAAUGCUUAACACAUGCAAGUCGAUGGGGAAGUGGUGCUUGCACCAUGGUAACCAUGGCGGACGGGUGAGUAACGCGUAAGGAACUUGCCUGCGGGACUGGGAUAACAGCAGGAAACUGCUGAUAAUACCGGAUAAGGUCAUUAAGCUGCAUAGCUUAGUGAUGAAAGGAGACGCCUGCGGAGAGCCUUGCGUCCUAUUAGCUAGUUGGAGGGGUAACGGCCCACCAAGGCGAAGAUAGGUGGCCGGCCUGAGAGGGUGGACGGCCACAAGGGGACUGAGAUACGGCCCUUACUCCUACGGGAGGCAGCAGUGGGGAAUAUUGGACAAUGGGGGCAACCCUGAUCCAGCAAUUCUGUGUGCACGAAGACGGUUUUCGGAUUGUAAAGUGCUUUCAGCAGGGAAGAAGGAAGUGACGGUACCUGCAGAAGAAGCGACGGCUAAAUACGUG